rnacentral:ncRNA from 2 species
CAGGAAGCCGGUGCGAGUCCGGCGCGGUCCCGCCACUGUCACCGGGGAGCAGACCCCGCCGACGGCCACGGGCACACUUCGACGGCGCCCGGAAGGCCGGGGCGCGCGACGAUCCGGGAGCCAGGACACUG